rnacentral:rRNA from 1 species
GAUGAACGCUGGCGGCGUGCCUAAUACAUGCAAGUCGAGCGAAUGGAUUAAGAGCUUGCUCUUAUGAAGUUAGCGGCGGACGGGUGAGUAACACGUGGGUAACCUGCCCAUAAGACUGGGAUAACUCCGGGAAACCGGGGCUAAUACCGGAUAACAUUUUGAACCGCAUGGUUCGAAAUUGAAAGGCGGCUUCGGCUGUCACUUAUGGAUGGACCCGCGUCGCAUUAGCUAGUUGGUGAGGUAACGGCUCACAAAGGCAACGAUGCGUAGCCGACCUGAGAGGGUGAUCGGCCACCCUGGGACUGAGAUACGGCCCAUACUCCUACGGGAGGCAGCAGUAGGGAAUCUUCCGCAAUGGACGAAAGUCUGACGGAGCAACGCCGCGUGAGUGAUGAAGGCUUUCGGGUCGUAAAACUCUGUUGUUAGGGAAGAACAAGUGCUAGUUGAAUAAGCUGGCACCUUGACGGUACCUAACCAGAAAGCCACGGCUAACUACGUGCCAGCCGCCGCCGUAA